CUGUCUUCUAAAAGCGUAUCUAGUUACUGAGUUCAUGUUCUUGGAUCACGGUGGUUUCAGGAGGGGAGAAGAGCCCGCCUCUGUUUUUCCCUCUGUCCCUCAGGCCGUAGAUCCACGCGUCCCUCAGGCCCACUCCUCAGACCCCUCCUGCCCAGGACAUUUCAGCAUAUUAUUUGCUUCAAGGCUCGUCCUCUUCUUAGACAAGUUUCCCAGAAUUAAACAGAAAAAUCCCGGGAGUGGGCAGGUUGGCAGAAGGAAGAGAGAAGGCCCGUUCGGCUGUGUCGUGUGGGUGGAGUUUGCGUCUGGAUGUGCAGUAAACCAAUCACUGAGCCACCCAUGCUUGGAGAUGGAGAAAGGUUUAUUCAAAUUGGCCAAAACAAGAAGAUACACCCUUGAGCAAUCUGACUUUGGGCGUCAGCAGCAGCAGCUGGGGGCUGUCGUCUGGUGGUCCUUGAGGGCAUUCUCUUCUUCUGUAGAGCAAGCUCCUUAAUCCUCUGACCCGGGAAUCACCCCUCAGGGUAAACAGGAAAACAGCAAAUUGGCAAGAUUAACUUCUUUUCAUCUAUGUCUGUGUUGGGAACAGCAUUGCAAGGUCGAAAGGUAAUGUUAUUGAAUAUUUGCAGUGACCUUCAGGUACCCGGCUUCAGAAUCUUCA
rnacentral:lncRNA from 1 species